UACGGAGGGGGCUAGCGUUGUUCGGAAUUACUGGGCGUAAAGCGCACGUAUGCGGCUUUGUAAGUUAGAGGUGAAAGCCCGGGGCUCAACUCCGGAAUUGCCUUUAAGACUGCAUCGCUAGAAUUGUGGAGAGGUAAGUGGAAUUCCGAGUGUAGAGGUGAAAUUCGUAGAUAUUCGGAAGAACACCAGUGGCGAAGGCGACUUACUGGACACAUAUUGACGCUGAGGUGCGAAAGCGUGGGGAGCAAACAGG
rnacentral:rRNA from 1 species